ensembl:misc_RNA Metazoa_SRP Metazoan signal recognition particle RNA
GCAGGGCGUGGUGGCGCAUGCCUGUAGUCCCAGCUACUCAGGAGGCUGGAGGAUCUCUUGUGUCCAGGGGUUCUGGGCUGUAGUGUGCUAUGCCAAUCGGGUGUCUGCACUAAGUUCGGCAUCAAUAUGGUGACUUCCCAAGAGUGGGGGACUACCAGGUUGCCUAAGGAGGGGUGAACCGGCCCAGGUCAGAAAUGGAACAGGUCAAAACUCCCGUGCUGAUCAGUAGUGGGAUUGCACCUGUGAAUAGCCACUGCACUCCAGCCUGGGCAAUAUAGCGAGACCCUGU